rnacentral:antisense_RNA from 1 species
UUUCUGUGCUGAGCUUCUUGCUGCUUCCUGCUGGGAAAAUGUUAGUGGCGGAGUCACACCCAGGUUCCCUGUGUCAUUGCAGGAGGCUGUACUGAUGCUCAUGUUUUGUUUCACAAGCUAAGUCCUUGACAGCAUCAGCUGGGGUCCCAGUCUUCUCUCUCAUGUUACCCAGUGAGAACUCACUCACAUAAAUGUCAGGGGAGAAUACGUGGCCUUCUGUUUCCUGGAUCACUGAAUAAAAUCCCCUAUGAUGAUCUGUGUGCGUAUUUGGCUUUGCUGUUUGGUUCCAGGAGUUUUAUUUCAAGGCAAAGCUUGUAUCUGAAGAUGCCAUGAGCUGAGAUUGUCUAGGACUGAGAAGCCCUAACUUCCCAAGGACACUAGUCCUGGAAAGAAGAAAGAGGGGGCAUUCUUCCUGAAAGUGAAAUGCACUCAGAAAGAACUGAUUGGUAUUUAAAAACUACUUCUCACUCUAUCUUUAAAGCCAAAGAGAAAACAUCGAA